rnacentral:lncRNA from 1 species
CGUGGCCUUAGGCUACUGCACAUUUCAACCUUUUGGUGAGUAGUUCAAUGGAGACUACAGUAUUCUCCACUUAGUUCUCCUAAAUCAAAUAUAAAAGUUUAAAAUUAUAUGCCAUGAACUAUAAAGUUAAUACACUAACAAACAAAACUUUAGAGAAAAACUUGUUAACAAAUCCUCCACGUACGAGGCGUGGAGAAUAUGCAUGUACGCUAUGAGGUAUCAUUAAAUAUUUUAUUUAACUUUUUAU